rnacentral:rRNA from 1 species
GAAUAUUGCGCAAUGGCCGCAAGGCUGACGCAGCGACGCCGCGUGGAGGAUGAAGCCCCUCGGGGUGUAAACUCCUGUUGCUCGGGACGAACCAUGGGUUUCGACCCAUCUGACGGUACCGAGUGAGGAAGCACCGGCUAACUUCGUGCCAGCAGCCGCGGUAAUACGAAGGGUGCAAGCGUUACUCGGAAUUACUGGGCGUAAAGCGUGCGUAGGUGGUUUGUUAAGUCUGAUGUGAAAGCCCUGGGCUCAACCUGGGAAUGGCAUUGGAUACUGGCAGGCUAGAGUGCGGUAGAGGGUAGUGGAAUUCCCGGUGUAGCAGUGAAAUGCGUAGAGAUCGGGAGGAACAUCUGUGGCGAAGGCGACUACCUGGACCAGCACUGACACUGAGGCACGAAAGCGUGGGGAGCAAACAG